rnacentral:rRNA from 1 species
UCGGGAAUUUUGGGCAAUGGGCGAAAGCCUGACCCAGCAACGUCGCGUGAAGGAUGAAGUAUUUCGGUAUGUAAACUUCGAAAGAAUAGGAAGAAUAAAUGACGGUACUAUUUAUAAGGUCCGGCUAACUACGUGCCAGCAGCCGCGGUAAUACGUAGGGACCAAGCGUUGUUCGGAUUUACUGGGCGUAAAGGGCGCGUAGGCGGAAGGAUAAGUUAGUUGUGAAAGGCCUGGGCUUAACCUAGGAACUGCAAUUAAGACUGUCCAUCUAGAGUUGAGUAGAGGGGAGCGGAAUUUCCGGUGUAGCGGUGAAAUGCGUAGAUAUCGGAAGGAACAUCAGUUGCGAAGGCGGCUCUCUGGACUCAAACUGACGCUGAGGCACGAAAGCGUGGGUAGCGAACAGGAUUAGAUACCCCAGUAGUCCCUGAGCGGGCUGGCAAGGCGCAU